rnacentral:lncRNA from 1 species
CUUACAGGCUCAGAGGUUCAGUCCAUUGUUAUCAACGUGGGAGCAUGGCAGCAUCUAGGCAGGCGUGGUACAGGAGGAGCUGAGAGCUAGCUCUACAUCUUCAUCUGAAGGCUGCUAGCAGAAUACUGACUUCCAGGCAACUACAACCAAGGGGAGAGGUCCCAGGAGCGCCCACUGUUAGGCUGGAGUUACAUAGGAAAGAACAGAGAGCAGCCACCACUGUACGGCCUGCACCAUCCUACAAGAUCUGAAAGUGCGGAGUCCUCAGAGCUGUCAGAGGAUGUGGGGCUUAUGACAACACCUGGGAGGAGAGAUGGAGAAGGCUUUUAUGGAGUCCCAGUGAGUCUCUUUCAGUGAACCUGGAGCUUGCCAGUUUGUCUAGACUGGCUUUGCCAGUGAACCCCAGGACCCUCUCGUCUCUGCUUCCCCAUUGGUGGAAUCCCAGGCAUACUGCUACAUCCAGCUUUUCGCUAUACACGCAUGCUGGGAUAGAACUCAGUUCCUCACAUUUGCAAGUUGCUGGGCCCUGCAGAUGGAGGAUGGAGUCAUCACUUGUGCAUCACUGAAGCGAAAUAUCUGACAAGAACAAGUCCAGGAGAGAAAGUUGGCUUUAGCUGGUGUUUUCAAAGCACUCUGUCACUGCUUCCUAUGCACGUGGGUAGGAAGGACAUUGGGACAGAUAAUCAUGGUCACCGGAGCACAUGACUGAAGGAGUACUUACCAAUAAUGGACAGGAAACAGUAGAACGGCAACAGGAAGGAGCCAGGGCAAGGAACAGCCCUCUAGAAGCAUUUGCAGGCAGUGACUGAGUCUUCCCAGCAGGCCUCACCUUCAACAAUCCCACUGCCUCUCAGUUCCCUCAAAUUUUGAAUCCAUCAAGGGAAUAAGCCAUUGUCAUCUCUUGAAACACCUCUCAGACACACCCUGGCUAAGAGAUGACAGAGAGGCAACCUUGACAGCGAGAGGAGCUACACAUGCAGACUACAGUGCCCACACUGGCGUCCUUCUGAGCUAGGCAAUCAGAUCUACUGCCUGUGCAGAUGUACCCAUGUCCACUGCCUGCCCUGAAAGCCGCUGCACUUGGUAGGUGUCUACCAACAUUGAGCUCUAAGAUGGGCUUUUCUGGUAACUGCCCCUGGGUCAGGCCUCUGGUGUGUGAGCCAUGGAGGAGAAGGAUGCAAGGAGCCAAGGAAGUGUGAAGGCCCCCUUAUAUCCUCAUCAUCGCCACAGACAGGGACCACCCAGGCUUCAGACUUGGGAGGGCUCCCAGUACGACGAGUGGCACGUUCAGGCGUGAAGUCAGACUGCUGAUACUGUGAGGCAGCAGGAGCUGAUAGAAGAACAACCCCCUCCCACAUCCACCCCCAAGAAAGCAAGGAAGUAGUGGGCAGGGGCCGCAUGGAUCCAGGGUGGGCAGAAACGGCAAAUGGGCUUGUAGAUCUGACUAUAUAAUUUUAGCAACUUUUGAUGGCUCCCUUCCCACACCAGAUUCCACCAUUCUUCCUGACUGGUCCCUACUUAUCACCCUAUUUGUGUGUCCACAGUAAGGCAACCAGGGUUGGUUCCUAUAAAUCUGGGCUUCCUCACAGGGUGUGUUAGAAUUCAUCACAGGAGGAAAGAGCCACUGCCUUCAGGACUAGCUGAACUCAACAGAAACAGAAAACACACACACACACACACACAUACACACACACACACACACACAAUCUAUGCUUCUAUUUCAGUGAACUCCCUAAGCUUACCCCAAUAGCCCAUUCCUGCCUCAGCCUCUGAGACUCCAUGCUUAGGCUGAGGACAGGAAUUCAGUCCCUCUUCAGGUUCCAGCCUCUGGGUAGCUUUUUGCUGCCAUUAUACUACUGUUCUGAGUUUUGGCCCAAGCCCCCACCACCUCACCUCUCUCACCCCUGACCCCUCCCCAGGCAACUCCAGAACUCCCACCAUCUCCUUGUCUCGCCCUCCUUCCUAUUAGCUCUUCAUGAUCACCCCUUCGUUGAUUUGCGACUUUCAGUCCUCUCUCUGCAGGGUCCACACCCUCCUCACUUGCCCUGAGUGGUACCCACACGUUAAGCAGCUGCGUGUUCACAGCUGGUGUCCUUCCAUGUAGUCUCCCUCUCACAUCCAGUUAGAGGAGCUGGUCAGUAUUCCACAGCGCCACCUAGUGGUAGCAUGAACAAGGGGGGCCGUCGUGAAAGAGGAGACUGACAGCAGCCUUCAGGACAAAGUUCUAGCAGCAGAGUGGCCUGGAGCCUGUGGCCUCCCCACGUCCCUGGACUCAGGGAGAUGCUAAGAACGACUCUCCACUUCUGCCAGGGGGAAACAGAACUACAGAAAAUGUGAAUGGACCUUAAACUCUCUUACAGCUUCAGGGAUAGUGAUCUGUGAGUGAUGGGCUUCUCAGUGUAUUUCCCUACGAUUCCAACUUUUCCAGCUUUCCUGGAUACUUUAAACACAGGUGCACAGGUGUUUAUGCUUGUUAAAUGCCAAGGCCAGCUACUCAAAAUAGGAGUCACCUCCCUAACCUCCAUCCCAUCCUCCAUAAAUGACCAGUAACUAUGACAACAGCAAGCCGUGUUUUGUAGACUUCGGGGGAUUAAUGAAACUACAUUAAGGGGACAAAAGAUAAAAUUUAUGCUUGUUCUCCAGGUGACAAAUGGACCAUAUGGUGGUUUUAAUGAGAAAGCUCUCAUGGGUUUAC